GCACUGCGCUGCGGGCAGCCCUGUUCUUAAUCAGAAUGUAGACAGCGUGACUGUCAGUACGCAAGCAACAUGCCGAAGCGCAAGUGUAUGUUUACCGACGAUUUACAAAAGAGUUUCCCCGCUUUCAGACCGGGUCGAGACAAAUGGGAAGCCUUGUGCACAGAAAAGCCACCCAUGA